rnacentral:lncRNA from 1 species
UGGGAGCCUUGACUGCUCUCCGAGACUGGAGCAAGUUAACUUGACAUAUAAUAGAAUAAAUUCAUGUAGGUUCCCACCACUCUAGACGAGGCCGAUCUUCUCAACAUCAAACUUGAAUGGUGAAGGUCAACCCUGGUGAAGGAUGAGAGGUCGAUCUCUUCAUCACUAAACUCAAAAGGACCAAAGCAAGUCAACUCAACUCAAAACGAAGGAGACUCAUGGCACUUCCGCC